GGAGACCAAAUAUUCAUACCUUGAUGUGGUUGGGAGAACAGUGCUGGUUCUGGAAAAGAAAAAUGUAGUUCCUGAGCACAACUCUCCGUUCCAGGUAGAUUUGCAAUCCCUUGUACAUGUGUUUUGUUCUCUGUUAUCAUCAUCAUAUCUAAGUUUAUUUAUCUUUGUUUCAAAUUUUGCUUGAUAAUUGAUAAAUUGUUGGUUUGUGAGGAUUUCAGUUAGCCAUCUAAACAGCGAUCAAAAUGUUUUCUUUGGGCAACAAGAUUUAGGUUGCAGACUUUCAUGGAACCUAUAUUUCAUUUAUAAUGCCUAAUUUAAUGCAUGAAAAAUAAUAAUUGCUGACAGUGUUGUGUUGCCAAAUGCUAUCAGCAGAGAGUUAGGAACUCCAAUAUGUGCUGUGUUGUAGUAGUUGCAUGAUAUCAUACCAAAAUGUGAUCAAGUAUGUUGGAUUAGAGUUUAUAAGAUGCACACAAAUAUGCCACUUGGUAAUUUAAUUUUGUUGCUUUUAGCGUUCCUUUCUUUUUUGGUUUGGGAUUGGGGAGGCAUUAGGAUUUACAAGCUGCACACAAAUAUGCCACGACCAUUUUAUUUUGUGGCUGUGAGUGUUCUUUUUCUUUUUUCGGUUGGGGGAGUUGGUUGUGGGGGAGGCUCAACAGGGCCUUGUGCUACACAAUAGAAGGAUACCUUUCCCCCUUUACUAACCCUGAACGCUACCCUUUCUAAAUCCACCAAUAUUUGAUGGAUGGCAAGACUGAAAUUCUAGAUCCCCUGCCCUCUGCAACAUUAAAAGGUAUGGUGAGAUAGUCUGAUUGGCAUAUAGUGAUUUAUGCAUUUAAAAUUAUAGUGAAGGCCCCAGGAGACAUGAUAUGGUUAUUGGUGAAUAUGUUUAUUUGGUGGGGCUAAAUUUUGGCAUUGCUCAUGCUUGGCAAAAGAAAAUUAGCAAAAUGUUUGAUUUCAAAGAUUUUUUCCAUAAUGAUAGAUCAAUGUUCCCAUUAUAAUUUUUUUCAUAGAAAAGUAUCCUACCCACAUUCUCUUAUUUAAUAUUUAAUAAUGAUUGCUACCUUCUUUUGCACCUGCUUACACUAAUGAAAAUCUGUUUUGACUUCCGCAGGUUUAUUACACUUUCAACCAA
rnacentral:misc_RNA from 1 species